UACGUUUUUUCAUCUUCCUUUCAUUUGUUAUUUUUUUAGCAUAUUUUCCAGCAAAGAAGAUGUGAGGGGACCAAGCACACAAGGAGCUAGGCUCAUUCUCUCCAGCUGAAUACCCUCACCAGUGUUACAAAUACAGGUGUCUCUCUCUUGCUCAUUGAGUCUUGUCUGCAGCUCUGAGGCUAAUUCUCCACGGUGAGGUGUGUGCAGGCCUCUUACAGGUGAGCUCAGCAGGUGUAGGAGUCCCUUUGAGUGGAUGCUACUCCCCUUUACUCAACUUCCAGUGAAGAGCACUCAUUCAGGAAAGAUGUGAAUAGGAGUUAUGCUCCCUCAUGGAGAAGGGGAAGAUGUGCAAAGAGGCCUGCAGCUCUCCUUGGGAAGACCUCAUCUGGCAUUCAAACUUUAUCCAGUUUUGGAAUCACACUUUCAGAAAUUUGCACAUGAAUUGAAGACAAUCCAAAACAGAGAUCCAUGAAGAGUUAUGGAAUAUAAGAUUUAUUGGCAACGAAUUUAAACAACUGAAUUUUUUUAUGUAAGAGAAGACCGAAGUCAAAUUGAUGACGUGAUAACAUGCUUCAAAAAUGGGAAACACUACUGUUUCUUCCCUUCAUUGUUUGGAUAUUUUGGCUGCAGAAGUUUGGACGUCAGCAGCAAGUUAACAAACAACUUAGGGUAUUGACAUUCACCCCUUUACAGUCACACAGCCUGUAAAAUUGCUCAAGGAUUCUCCACUGAAUUUGGCUAUCGCUUUUCCUACUGUAACUCUAAAAGAUUUUGAAUAAGCCCAUUUGCAUUUCCGCUUACAGGCACUGUAAAUGCUGUGAUAUUAUGUAUUAUUUGCAAGAAAUGAAAAGAAAAAGCAAUUCAAAACUUUCAAAAAAACCCCAAUCUGGAAUUCAUAGUUCAUGACUACAAGGCCACAGUCAAAGUAAUGGUCAUACAGCCAUAAGAAAUAUCUUCAUAAAUUAGGUGUUUGCAGGAAUUUUACCUAAUGAAGCAGAUUUUAAUACAAAAUCCUUUAACAUUCAUUUUUUCUUUAAAUUUAAUAUCACUUUUAGAGGAUUUAUGGGACUUUUACACGCCAAACUUGUAAAUCAGGUGGAAGAAACUUGUUAUGCUUUAGGGACAAACACAAUUGCAAUGUGAUAAGAAAUAAGUUUUCCUCUGCUUUCCAUCACUGUUCCUGGAGGGUUAAAUGGCAAAGGCUGGCCUCUGGCUGUAAUGUUGCAGCUGGCAUAAGCCACGUGAAAUGCUGUGCCUACAACCAGUGCGUUGGACUGAGGGGCCAAAAGAGGCUCUUCUGGAAGAGCUUUUGGGAGGAAAACAGGAGAUGGAGUCUCCUACCACAUGCAAGCUUUCUCUGCAUGUCCUUGCUGAGCAUACCAUGGAUUCAACGGUUGACUCGGCACCCAGCCCUGAUGGAAAGAGCAAGAUGUGAGAGCACGGAACAGCUUUUGACUCAGCGAUGUGGAUGGUGGUGGAGUGUGCUGGGAAAGAUCCCAGAGUUUUCAUCAACUUUUCUCCUGAAAAAGAGUAUGAAGCAAAGAAGAAACUGAUUUUCCUUUAUGCAAAUGCAUGUACUUCUGGGUCUUGAAACCUAUCUACAACAUUAAUUACCCUCCAGUUUUCCAUCAACACCUCCCUGCAGUUGAUGGGAACCUUUCCAAUGCUGUCAGGCAGAAGCAGCACAGCUCUGUAAGCAGAAGCAGCAGUAUGGAAGCCAUCCGUGCCUCACUGGGAUACCUAGCAUCUUCCAGAGUGAAGAGGAGCUGAGGAGUGAGCCUGACUUUCAUAAGUGAAGAAAAAAAGGCAAAUAAGGUUUUAGGGGGAAUUUUCCUAAAAAAGAUUGGCUGUGACCUGUGACUGCUAUUACUUUGAACGGCUGUUUUGGAGAACCAUAAGGAAGCCUUGCUGCUCUCUUUUCUAGUAAACCCAUUUGCCCAAAGCUCUUGCACAAAAGGCUCAGAACAAACAUGACUCAUGUUGGUGAACAGUUUGUCAAAGCAGUUCUUUUGUACAAAGGGUCGCAAGGUUGAUCACAAUAGUUAGCAUAGGCAUUCAGCAACAUAAAAGAAAGUCUUGUUCCUGUUUUCUGGGAUGGCACUCGAGCAGAUGCCACACUGAACCUGGAUAGGAUACACAGUUUUUUAGGGAGAACAGUACUUGAGGCAUACAGCAGGAUGCAAUCCUAUUUGCACUUGAGACAAGAGUAAAGUUGCCAUUAUCUUCAGGCUCUUAUUCUGAAUAUGCAUGCACAAUGAGAUUUGCACUGUUAGCAGGUAUGUAUACAAAUGGGAUACGUGACAAUGAAAUUGCAGAAAAGCAAGAUUUCACUUGACUUCUGCUCCCACUAUGUGGGUUUGGAAGCUUCCCACUUUUCCUUACCAGCACUUGAAAUACUUAACUCUUAAGUUGCUACUACAUUUGUAUAGCUAAGCAAGAGGAUGAAAGAUUUCUUCCUGAAGGACAGGUGGCUACUGCUCCAAGGUAAGGCUUUACCUGCUGCAACAUGGGCUUGUGUAUGGUUUGCAUGUUACUGCAGACCAGAACUUUGUUUUGGCUGUGGCCCAUUUAAGGUCUUGGUAAUUCAUAUUGGAAGCAACAAAUCAGCCCUCAGUAUAUUUUUUCUCUUCUGUUUGCCCCUGUAAAAUUAGAUAAAUGGUAAAAAUACAGAGAGGACUUUGUUUUGUUUGUUUUAGCAGGCUCUGCAAGGGCACACAAAGUGGACUGUGCUGGUUAUGCUGUUAGGAUCACGUCUUGUAGCGCAAUGAGUAAGCACUGGCACAGCCAGGCUCAAAUUAGUGCUGUUCCGACAGCGUGUUUUGCAAAUGAUGGAGAGAAAGGAAGUUACUUAAGUAGGCAACUUCAUAAAAUAAGAUGGCAAGUUUUCUUUCCGUAUGAGAGGGGCCAGUGUAAGUGAAAAGGGUUUUCAUGGUUAAAACUUUAGUUACAAGUAAAUGUCAAUUUAUUAAAACUUAAAUUUAUUAUAAAAAAUUAAUUCAUAUUGUCAAAGUUAACUUCCAGACAAAACCUUUGCCCAGAAUGUCACUAAGUUUCUUCCACAGUAGAUAAAUCAUGAGAUUGAAUUCCCCCCACUCCUGAAAUUUUGGCUUUUCUUCAGGAGAUAACUCGUUCUUUAGGCUUCUUGGUGAAAAACUCAUGAAGUUUUCAUCUUCAAGCCAAUGUACAGAGAAAAGAAACAUCCAGCUCAUUGAAACCUUCAACAAAAUGAAGUUUUUUGUUUCCUUGUAAAUGCUCUGGAACUUGGAGCGACACUCCAAAAACCUUUUGCAGAAAUUCAGAUAAUUCUCUGGUAUCUGCUCUUCCAGUUUACAUCCAAGUUCAUGGAAUUGUUAGGGAAGUGUGCCUCCCACAGAUCUUUUUUCAUUUCCUCCAAUCUGUGCUGAUGGCACAACCAGGAAGGGCAACAUUUUCACAACUCACUUGGCCUUUUCAAACUGAGAAUUCAUCCACAGCUUGUAGUAUCUGGAAUACUGAUGACAUGGAACAGGCUAGUGUGUAUCAGUGUGAAACAGUGAUGCUUCCUGCAACUUCAGGCCUGGCACUUACAUGCACAUCAGCCGCAGGAUGGAUACAGUUCACACCAACAUGGCUUAAUUGUCACAGAUCUCCAGAGUGCCAUAGAAAUGCAAUUCCCCUGAUGCUUCUGAUAUUGUGUGUCACCCCUUCCUUUUGUCUGUCCAGCAAGAACUUUUUCCAGGGUCUGAAAAGUAACAUUGUCGAUUUCCAGCUGAAGCUGAGAUAAGUUGCUCUCCAAAAAGAGACGUGAACAGCUGGAAAAUGGCAGACUUUUCUCCUGCUACGGUUACUUAAGCUAUUCAAACUCACUGAAAUGCACCGAGAGAGCUAUGGAAGCAUCUCACUAAGUAGUCUCCCAAAACUGUCUGAUGAAAUGAGAGAUUUAAAUUCAGAUUUCUUAUUGAAUAAUGUUAGGUGGCUACAACAAAUCAGGCACCCCAACAUCUUGGAAAGAGCAUAUAGAUUGUGUUCUUCCAUCACAAACAAAAUAUAGCACAGAGGAGGAUGUCUCAGGUGAUGGUAAAACGGGCUUUGUUAUAAGGCCCUUUCACUUGGAAAUGAUGAGAGGUCCCUCUGAGUCAUGAACAGUACUGGAGAAAGUGAGUGGCAGAGAUGUGUUUGCUCUUUCCUACAUAAGCAGAGUGCAGGGUGCCCAGCUGAAUUAUAGAGUGGCAGAUAAAGAAAGGGUAUCAGAGUGUUACUCUUUAAUCACAGCGUGUCUUUAGUACUUAAUGAUUAAUGUCCAAGUCAUAUCCACUGAAUGAUGCGGAAGCAAGAAAAGAUAAAAUGUUUAGAAAGGGUCUAGACAAAAUGAUAGAGGGAAAGUGAAUUAGUCACGGCUGAAUGUGACAAUCAGGGUAUGACCUUCGGCAGAGAGGAUGCCUGAAACGCUAUUACUGGAAACUACAACAGCAAAUGUUUUUACAAGUAUCUGCAGCUGGCCAAAGUCAUAAACACGAGAUUUUCUUGGGGGCUGGAUGGCUUUAUAUUUCUGUUCUUCUGUUACAUUGGCUCUAGCAAGUGACGGUUUUAGACAUCUCUGUUUUGUUACCUCACAGGCUACUCACUUUAAUCAGCAACUGUUGAAAAAAUGAGGAUUAGUUUCACUGAAAAUAGAUAUAAAAUCAGCGUGAGAUCAAAUAAUGCCCUACCUUUGCAUAUCAGCAUGAGGUGGGAAGGCAGCACAGCAGAGAGAAGACAUAAGGUUUCAAGUGUACUUUAAAUACCAAAGCUGUGAGACUGUGCCUAAACCAGACUCUUGUUCAAUUAUUCACAGGCGAGUGAGAAUGAGGUUAAAACAACCUAAUGUGCCACUUCCUGGUUAUCGUAACAUAACAAAACAGUUCUGCUGCUUCAUAGAAACACAGCUGCCUCAGCUUCCUGUUUGGAUUUCCUAAAGGAUACAAGCAGUCCAUGAUGCAGCCUAAUGAAAGAGUUAUCACUCAGACAGUGCUUUCUCUUCUACUUUGGGUCUCCCAAACACAGCAAUAAGUUUUAGGAGUUAAAAAAAGUGAGACAAUGUGCUGCCUGUGUGCUUCAGUAUUGGCGACUGCACAAGUUUGUACAUAGCACUUUCUAAUCUUUACCAGACAAAGGGGCUCCAGUCAUGGAUUCAGUCAUGAACUGACUUUAAAGGACCAGCCACAGCUGUGCCUGCUUUGCUGGAAGUUGGACCUGUCACCUGAGAAAGAAACAGUGAAGAGAAGGUAGAGAUCCUGUUCUGCUAGUGAGAAAAAGAUCUUUGUUUUGGGUAAUGUUAGCCAAAUGUUUGGCAUUUUGUGAAUGUUUGACAAGCUUUCUAAUGAUGUUCUCUCAUUAGGACCUAAACCAAAGCUGCUGGAAGGCAACAGACUUCUCCUCUGAUCAUAGAUCAUGGGCUUGGGAUCAGAUCUGCAAGCAGUAAAUAUAAAUAUACAACUGAACUUAUAUUUUGGAGGGAUUUCUCAUCCGUGCAGGCAUUAUAAUGGGAACAGACAGCUAAUUGGCUUAAAUUAGUGUGCAAGACGAUUGUAUGGAGAAACUAAAUACAGUCUCUAUAUCAUACUGAGGUAUGAAUACCUGAUAAAUACGUGGACAGCUGGAAUUAUACCAGAUAUACUACAGAUAUCUGCUGGGGUAAAAUCAGCUGUCACCUUCAAGCAUUGACAGCUUCUGACCAUAUAUUUUUUAAAAUUACCGCUCUAAAAAAAGCAUGUGGAAGACAUUAAUGCCUUUUUCUCCUCUGUACAGUGAAUAUCAAACAAGACGAGUCAACUCUUCUUCCUAAAAAUAGAGCAAGCACCCUAGUGAGAAAAAGAUGGAAGAGAUUUGUGGUCUCUUGUAGACAUUGGACAUGCUGACCCAUGGGUAUUACACAAACUGCCUUAUGGGACAAGGUAUAACAUUAACUGUGCCAUGUCACACAUGGAAUAGCCCAGAACUUUAAGGCUGUUUGAGUUCUCAUAGCCCAUAUUGUCAACUUGGAUUUACUCUCAGUUUACCUUUAACUAUAGACAUGUUAGUAUGUUUAAAUUAUCAUUAUAGCAUAACCGUGCAGCUGUGGUAUCGAAACACACAGGACAACCCCAUGAUGCUGCUGAUAAGAGUUCAGUCUCACAAGCAAUUAAAACUUUGUAUUCUGGGUCUCAGUCCCCAUCAAGUUACACCACUGUAUGUGUGAAAGUGUGAAAUUUCAUGUAGUGUAAUAACCAGAAUUUGGACAAAUACUUGAACUCUCAAAUAAUUAAUAUUUUCAGCCUCUCUGUGCAUUCAAAUAAAGCACAAGCUGUGUCAUUCUGUCCAGUUCUGGAUUUCUAGGCACUCACAUGGUGAAUCUAAAGGAUACCAUUUUAACCCUCAAAAUGAGGUUUAUUUUCCACAGAAAAGAACAUGGGGGUCCUGCCAUGUUCUGAGGUGUCUCCCUGGCACAAAUUCAAAGCACUGUUGGGACCUGCAGCUCCUGCACCCAGAAACCUUGGGGAUAACCUCAGGACAAGAGGCAAGUUGAGUGACCAGUCUCUUUUCACAAAAGCAAAUGCAAAGUGAUUAUGGGAGGCAAGGGGAAGACAGAAGUAGUUGGAAGCUUGGUUUAAAAUCAUUUCACAAAUUGUGGACUUCCCCGCAAGAGUCAGUCUGCACUGCUCAGGAAAAGUUAAAGGCCUAGAAUUGUGAUGUGUUCUUGGUUGUCAUGUCUCAUAAAAGAGGUUCUGUUUCUACAACACUUUUUUUCCUGUGGCUUAUGUGGUUCUAUUACUGUAAUACCUUUACCUUAUCAGAUUAUACCUUAUAAGACCUUUGUGCAGAAAGAAAUGCUGCCAUCCUCAAGGAAAUAUGAAACACAGGCUCAUGAGCAGCACGUGAGCCAGAUCAUGGGGGUUUUCAGGUCCAUUUUCCAUCCCAGUUUUGAGGACUUAAGAUCAUUUAUCUCUUGAAACUCCAAAAAUAACUUGCGUUAUCUCCCACUUCGGUUGCUCUUUUGACCUACUUGGUUAACCAAAGUUCUGCAUCCUGUGGGUUGUCACUAACUGGUGGAGAAAUUGAUGAUGGACUCAGAUAUCUUUGGUGCACUUCUGUUAGUUAAUGUUUUGCAACUAAAGUUUUAUUUCCUGACUACAAAACGC